rnacentral:rRNA from 1 species
UACGGAGGGUGCAAACGUUGCUCGGAAUUAUUGGGCGUAAAGCGCACGUAGGCGGCUCGUUAAGUCGGAUGUGAAAUCCCUCGGCUCAACCGAGGAAGUGCAUCCGAAACUGGCGAGCUUGAGUACGGAAGAGGGUCUCGGAAUUCCCGGUGUAGAGGUGAAAUGCGUAGAUAUUGGGAGGAACACCAGUGGCGAAGGCGGCUCACUGGACUGGUACUGACGCUGAGGCGCGAAAGCGUGGGGAGCAAACAGG